rnacentral:tmRNA from 1 species
GGGGGCGAAAUGGGUUUCGACGGGGUGAUGGCCGGGUUUAGGAGCAUGGCGGUUUUCCUCUAUUUUACCGUAAAAAAUAGAGGAAAAACAACUGCCAACACUGGUAGUUACGCCCUUGCUGCUUAAUUGAAAGCAGCAACCUCACUUAGGUUUGCAUCCGACCUAAGUUGAGGUUUAAAAAUGGAUGCUUAAGGUCUUCCUUUAGUUGCCGAAGGAAGACCGGAUUUUAAAAGGCAACUGGCAAGGUUCUGCCUGUCGGUUGGCGAAGAACCUUGCGAGAAGAAUAAACCGACUAACCAUGUAGAGCCUAAACCCGAAACACUCCGGACGCGGGUUCAAUUCCCGCCGCCUCCAUAA